UUUCAGUUUGAGGACUCUAAUGAGACUGCCAACGAUAAGUUGGAGGAAGGUGGGGAUGACGUCAAAUCAUCAUGCCCUUUAUGACCUGGGCUACAAACGUACUACAAUGGCCAAUACAAAGAGAUGCGAAGCGGUGACGUGGAGCGAACCUCAGAAAGUUGGUCUCAGUUCAGAUUGAAGUCUGCAACUCGACUUCAUGAAGGCGGAAUCGCUAGUAAUCGCGGGUCAGCAGACCGCGGUGAAUACGUUCCCGGGUUUU
rnacentral:rRNA from 1 species